AUUGAACGCUGGCGGCAGGCCUAACACAUGCAAGUCGAACGGUAACAGGAAGCAGCUUGCUGCUUCGCUGACGAGUGGCGGACGGGUGAGUAAUGUCUGGGAAGCUGCCUGAUGGAGGGGGAUAACUACUGGAAACGGUAGCUAAUACCGCAUAAUGUCGCAAGACCAAAGAGGGGGACCUUCGGGCCUCUUGCCAUCGGAUGUGCCCAGAUGGGAUUAGCUUGUUGGUGGGGUAACGGCUCACCAAGGCGACGAUCCCUAGCUGGUCUGAGAGGAUGACCAGCCACACUGGAACUGAGACACGGUCCAGACUCCUACGGGAGGCAGCAGUGGGGAAUAUUGCACAAUGGGCGCAAGCCUGAUGCAGCCAUGCCGCGUGUAUGAAGAAGGCCUUCGGGUUGUAAAGUACUUUCAGCGGGGAGGAAGGGAGUAAAGUUAGUACCUUUGCUCAUUGACGUUACCCGCAGAAGAAGCACCGGCUAACUCCGUG
rnacentral:rRNA from 1 species